UCCUCAGAUGGUAAUGAGGACCUAUUAGCCCCAUCUACUCUGCUCCAGACCUUUAUACGGAGACAAACCUGUGUGAGGAAGAGACUUGACCUGGCUAACAUAACGGACCAGCACUACAGUUCCAGGAAGUCAGCGGGGAAAGUACCCAGUUUCCUGAUUCUGGAGGAUGGUUGAAAACCAGGACCCCUAACCACUAGACCAUAUGGGACGGACUAGGAGGAGCAGGCAGCUCUGGGUCUGGUGGAGCUGCAGCUGGUCCAGGGGCCUGUUUCUGCCACCAUGUGGAGUCCCUGCAGCAAGGCACCUUUGAAGACACCACUGCUAUGCCAAAGGCUGGAGACCUGGUCAUCUGCCACGCCCUGCCUCUGCCCGAAGGCUUUCAGUACUCCCACUGCUGGAACUGACCCGAAGACCGAAGUUUUCGAGGCGGAAAAGACAUGAGGCGAGAGGACGUGGCACGGGAGGCUCCAGACUACAGCCAUACAGUCUCCAAGUUUUGCCAAACUUGCGAUCAUAAAG